rnacentral:misc_RNA from 1 species
UCCGAGUUUCUCUCGGCAGUGGGAUCUGAGAGAUACAACAGACCCCGAGGGUUGCGCUCGUUGCGGGACUUAACCCAACAUCUCACGACACGAGCUGACGACAGCCGUGCAACACCUGUGCGAGCUCCCUUGCGGGUCCCUCACCUUUCGGAUCGGUACCACUCGCAUGUCAAGUCUGGGUAAGGUUCUUCGCGUACCAUCGAAUUAAACCGCACGCUCCGCUGCUUGUGCGGGCCCCCGUCAAUUCCUUUGAGUUUUAACCUUGCGGUCGUACUCCCCAGGCGGGGCACUUAAUGCGUUAGCUACGGCACUGCCGGGGUCGAUACCGACAACACCUAGUGCCCAUUGUUUACGGCUAGGACUAA